AGAACGAACGCUGGCGGCAUGCCUAACACAUGCAAGUCGAACGUGAUCCAGGCUUCGGCCUGGUGAAAGUGGCAGACGGGUGAGUAACGCGUGGGAACCUGCCCUGUGGUAGGGAAUAACCGCGGGAAACUGCGGCUAAUACCCUAUGAGUCCUUCGGGAGAAAGAUUUAUCGCCAUAGGAGGGGCCCGCGUCGGAUUAGGUAGUUGGUGGGGUAACGGCCUACCAAGCCUUCGAUCCGUAGCUGGUCUGAGAGGAUGAUCAGCCACACUGGGACUGAGAUACGGCCCAGACUCCUACGGGAGGCAGCAGUGGGGAAUAUUGGACAAUGGGGGCAACCCUGAUCCAGCAAUGCCGCGUGGGUGAUGAAGGCCUUCGGGUUGUAAAGCCCGUUUCGGCGGGGAAGAUGAUGACGGUACCCGCAGAAGAGCCCCGGCUAACUCGCGCCAGCAGCCGC
rnacentral:rRNA from 1 species